GAGUUUCAGCACUUCCAGGAGGAUGGAGGUCUUUCUCUCUGAGAGGUUUAUGGACCAGACUGCAGGAGCUGAAAAUACUGACUGUAAUGAUGGAAGAACCCUCAGGGCCAUUUCAGAUUCACUGGAGUAAAGCUGCAUAGAUCAGAUUGCCAAUGAACCUGAUUUCUUCUGAAGAUUCUGAGAAGUCAGAAACGACACUGAAAUAAAAGAACGAAACAUGAUGUAAUUGAAUAGCAGGUAUUUAUGAUGUCCGGAUGGCCUUUGAAGUAUAGACGGGGGAAGCACCACCUCUUUGUGUUCACUGUGCAGCAGCUACAGAGCUCAGGAAAAAGGGAGAGGAAAAAGUCUGGUCUUCCAAGUGGGAAAUGUGAUUGCCUUUCUUUAGUCGAAUUGUACGGAGGAGACAAACUGUCUGGCAGUUGUUCUUAAUUGGAGAAGAGUUCUGUUAUUGCUCCAUUCUUAUAGGUGAGUUAACUUGUUGUGAACAAGAAUACGAAGUUAUACAAAGUUAAACCAUCAACAAUGAUAUGCUAGCAGCCAUGUGGUUCUACAAUUGUGAAGGUGCUUGUCAUUACAAGAAAACAAUGAUUAGAAUAAAAUGUGCUCAAGUUUGUUUAGAUGAUA